CCCAAUAACUCAUUUGACCCAUCAACUCAUUUGAGUCAAAAAAUUUAACUCAUUAGGGUUCAUGGGUUGAGUUGAGUUGAGUUGGC